GGGGUAACGCAGUAGCUUGCUACUAGACGACGACCGGCGCACGGGUGAGUAACGCGUAUGUAAUCUGCCUUGUACAGAGGGAUAGCCCAGAGAAAUUUGGAUUAAUACCUCAUAGUAUUACCGAAUCGCAUGAUUUGGUAAUUAAAGCUCCGGCGGUACAAGAUGAACAUGCGUGACAUUAGCUAGUUGGUAAGGUAACGGCUUACCAAGGCCACGAUGUCUAGGGGUUCUGAGAGGAUGAUCCCCCACACUGGUACUGAGACACGGACCAGACUCCUACGGGAGGCAGCAGUGAGGAAUAUUGGUCAAUGGACGCAAGUCUGAACCAGCCUCCCGCGUGAAGGAUGACUGCCCUAUGGGUUGUAAACUUCUUUUUAUGCAAUAAACCUACUUUCGUGAAAGUAGCUGAAGGUAGCAUAUGAAUAAACCCGGCUACUCCGCCAGCAGCCGCGUAUCCGAGGGUGUAGCGUUUCCGAUUAUUGGUUUAAGGUACU
rnacentral:rRNA from 1 species